UGUUCCGUCCCUAACUGUGAGCAAGGUUGGGUUUGCUCGCACAUCUGUUGCGAUGUGGGAAGUCCCAGGUGGUUUUCUCAGAAGCCGCCGUGUAAACGCUUCUCGGAGUCCUCGGCUGGAGCGAGUGCACCCGUCAGGGUUUUCUCCUCUUCGCGGUCGGAGCACCAAGCUGGAGCGUGGCCAGUGUCAACCAUUUUUAUUAACUGACGUGGAGAACGAAAGUUUAACGGGUUUCCCUGGUACUUGAUGGUACCUAGCCGUACUUUAGUUCUGAAAAGUGCUUGUGAUGGGGAAAUGUGGGGUCGUUACAGUGAAGAGACACAGCCAUUUUAUAUAUCUUGUAUUGUAAUUUGCAUUGUACUAUGUAUGAGACCUAGAUAUUGUGUGUAUGUACAGAUAUGUAAGCUAUGUGUGACGUUUUAAACUGAUUUAUUUCAGUCCUUGACUAAUAAUGUUCUGUACUAUGUAUGAUGUCAUGUUUCCUGUGGACUCCAGGAAGAGUAGCUGAUGCUUUUGCAGCGGCUAAUGGGGAUCCUUAAUCAAUACGAAAACCAAGCAGUACUCUCUAACUAUUGUCCUGAAGAACAACAUCUGUAUAUAGAUAAGCUCUAACUGUACUUACUGCUCUGAAGAGGUCAGUGUAUAACCAUCAAAUACAAAACAGUCACAUCCUGGAUGGAACGAUAGACAACACGUGACCACAGUUACAGUCAAAGUGCACCUUGCCUAUAGCGUGGGAUUUUAGACCGUGUAUGUCAUUGUCCCGUUAACUGUACAAAUGUGCAGGACAUUUCCAGGAUGAUUGACCACCAUUUCAUGACUUAUGAUUGCUCGAUUUUUCCAACCAUCAACAUCAUCAUCAUUACCACCACCAUCAUCACAAUCAUCAUCACCAACAUGGCUGUGUUAGAUAUCAGCAGUACAAACAGGGCGGCAGGUAAGCCUAGUGGUUAGAGCUUUGGGUCAGUAACCGAAAGGUUGCUAGAUCGAAUCCCUGAGCUGACAAGGUGAAAAUCUAUCGUUCUGCCCACUGAACAAGGCAGUUAACCCACUGUUCCCCACUAGGCUGUAGGCUGUAAAAUAAGAAUUUGUUCUUAACUGACUGUCCUAGUUAAAUAAAGGUUCAAAUGGAACUGAAUGCUUCUCCUCAUGAAGUCCAUGUCUCAGCUCUUCAGGGCCCUUAAGGAGAGAGUCCAGGUCCACUUUGGGUACGUCACUCCUCUCUCCAGCCAACGCACUCUUCAGGAGGCAAGAAUCUCCCUCAGCUUCUGGAGAAUCACAACCAGGGUGUCACGACUUCUGCCGAUGUCGAGGCCUCUCCUUGUUCGGGCGGUGCUCGGCGGUCAACGUCAUCGGUCUUCUAGCCAUCAUUGAUCCAUUUUCCAUUGGUUUUGUCUUGUCUUCCUACACACCUGGUUUCAAUCCCAUUCAUUACCUGUUGUGUAUUUAACCCUCUAUUUCCCCUCAUGUCUUUGUCAGAGAUUGUUUAUUAUUCAGCUUUGUGUUGUUUGUAUUGCUGCUCGACGGGUCCUCGUACCCACUUUGUUUUAUUGUUAUAUUUAGUUUUGGAGUUAUGUUUCGUUUAUUGUUAUUAAACAACUCCAUUUCAUUAA